rnacentral:miRNA from 1 species
UGUGUGUAUAUGUGUGUCUGUAUAUAUGUGUGCAUAUGUCUGUAGGUAUACACACACACACACAAACACACACACACACACACACACACAC